rnacentral:lncRNA from 1 species
UAAUAAUCUGAUUAAACAGAAAUGAACACUCAACUGGUUUCUAAUUCUAAGAUUAAUUGCAGUGGGUUAGCUAAUUAGCAGGCAUUGAAUAAACCUGUGAGAAUGACUUGCUUUUUGAAACUUUUAUCAGAGGCAAAGCUGAGGCAGGCUCCCAGUCUCAUUAACGGUGUAAAUAGCCCCAGUGGCUGUGCUGCAGCCAGGCAGGAGCACUCCACUGCUCUCCAGUUAUCGCAGGAAUUGUCAUAAAGUAGAGAACUUGUAGUCGGGUGCAGAAAAUCAGGCGUACUCUGGAGUCCUCCGUUUGCCUCCGUGUGCUUCCAAGUUUUUUCUUUUGUUUUGUUCUUUUUUGAGAAGAAUUGGAUGUCCAGAGAAGUUAUUGGGUUGAAACUGAAACAGUCUCAGACUUAUCUUAGUGGGCCAGCACACUGUGUCCCUGUUCAAGAUGCCUCAUACUUCUGAGUGGGUAAAGGAUGAGAUCAGCUUCAUGGCAUUGCCCCAUCUCCGGCUGUCCUUCUACAUCACCAUGUCAUGUUUGUCUGGUUAUCAUGCAUUGAAAUUAUUGUCAACAAAGUUUGUCACUGUGCGGUGGUGAAAUUACCAUUCUACAAUAAGACUUUGGAAAGUUGUACGCUGAGAGUACGGAGCGGUUUUUUUGCCUUUGUCAUCUGUCAACGUUGCAGGUUGACUGCCAGCUGUUUCCCAGUAGCCUUCUCAGGAGCAAGAGGACUUUCUCUACUGGUCCAUAAAAAUAUACCUCUGCUGUUGCCACUAAACUUUAUGUAAGCCAUAAAGUAUCUUUUGGCUCUAGUUUGGAACAAGGAGAAUGUUUGCGCAAUGAAUAUCAGACAUUUUCAAUGUUAAUGUGUAAUGUCUGUUGGCAGGGUUGUCUGUAAAGAUUUUUUAGCCAGCCAAAUGUUACUUCUGUUUCACUCAGCACUCAUGUCUGUCAUGGGAUAGGAAGAAUAACAGGUUGUAUUAAAAUUGGCUGCAGGCGGUCUCAUUUUUUCCUUGUUGCUAGCCUUUUGAGUAACUCCUGGCAGCAGUUACAUAUAAAACACGUUCUUUUUCAAGCUUUCUUUAAAUGGCUAUGGAUAAGGAAGUGCACUACUGAAAAAC